GUUUGAUUGGACGGAAAAUAUUUUUCAGAAAAUGUUUUACUAAUUUUCCAUUGUUUGGACACAAUUUAAUUUGGAAAAAUAAUUUCUAACGGAAAAUAAAUUACACCACGGCCUAAAGACAUUCUUCCACUUCAGCAGAUGCCCAUUCUCAACGAUUGAAGACCAUCGAUUGACAACUUAUCGGCGAACCAAUCCUUCUUCGCCGGCAGCGCCUCCAGCUCCGGCGAAGACCCACUUCCAGAGGGUUGGAUCAUAUCGCAAUUCAUUGUCCUGGGUUGAGGAUUCAAUGUGGCUAGUCAGAUGCAGAAGCACCUUCAAGCAUUAGGCCCCAGUUUACUAAGAACUGGAUCAGCCAUUGGGUUCGUUGCGUUCACUGUUCUUCUCACUUCGUGGGCUCUUACCUUUGCCAUAGGAGUAGAGCAUCUUUUUGGGCAUGCCUGGGAUCAGCUGGUAAUAUACAAUCUUGCUGACAGAUAUGGUUUGACGGGCUGGAUCUAACUUUGUAAAUUUCUCUAGUCCUCAGACUGUAAACUCAACUUCUGUUUGCUGACGAGAUUUAAACCCUGAUGGGUGCAUUUGUUGCUUUUGAGCUCCAUAGAAGGUUGUACUGAAAUUAUUGAUCUGAUAGAUCUAAUAUUUUUUGAAUUGGCUCUUACCAUAGCACAAAUCAAUCAAUUGGCUGCUCAUGUUUCUGUUAGAGAGCACUAUGGCCAUUCAGGCUCUUGACUCAAAAUUUGUGUUAAAUUCUCUUGUGCAUGCAUGCACAGGCGGUUGCA